GGGGGGGGGGGACUCUGUGGGGAAACCGUCAUCAUCAUCAUCAUCAUCGUUGUUUUUAGUCUCGGACUCAAACAUGGAAGGUGGCCUUUGAUCUUCCUCACCGGAGACUUAAACUCACCUGGAAAUGAGAAUCGGGACCCUAAAACAGGAUAAACUGCCUGGAACAAUCCUCUAACCUCUACCUACCACUAACCACCUGCCAGUAGUGACCCUCACUGUGUUUCCAAGUACUCAGUCGCUCAUCUGCUUCCCAGCUUAUAUAUUCACCCAGUCUCAUCUGCCUGUUCCCGGUUCUGUUUGAGCUCACUGAUCUGGUGCCAAAAGCAAACUAUUUCAUCAUUUAAACCGCUCUGACUCUCACUUCUGUGUUUGAGCCCGUAUUUCUGUGUGCAUGGCUGUUACAGUUUUUACCAACUGCUUACACACAAAAUAUUUUCAUGUCACACGAUUUUUGAAACCUCUCACUCAAAGUGCAAAACUACACCCCAAAUCUUCAAAACCAUACGUUAUUUCUCAGCCUUUGACUCAGUUUUCAAUUGCAUAAAACACUUUUUUUCAAAACACACUACACACAAUUCUCUACCUGCUGCUUUAGUGGGCUUAUAAAUAGGUCAAAAGUCAGAUUACCUGGUUUGAACAAUGGAUGCUAACAAUGAACAGAGAGGAAGAGGCAGGGGACAACGAGGACAAAUACCAAGAGGAGGAAGAGGAGGAAGAAGAGGAAGAAGAGGAGGAGGAGGUGGAAGAAGAGGAGGAGGAAGAAGAGGAGGAAGAGGACGAGGGCAAAUAAGAGAAGGAAGGAGAGCCAUCUCUGAUGAGAUUAGGGCAACACUUGUUGAUCGUGUAAUCAACCACGGUUUGACCAUGAGAGAGGCUGGACUGAGAGUCCAGCCCAACUUGAGUCGAUUUACAGUGGCGUCCAUAAUUCGAACCUUCAGAAAUGAGAACAGUGGAAAGGCAAAGACAUCAUGGAGGACGAGGGCGCUUGUUUACAGAUGUACAAGAGACUGCAAUUACAAAUAUGGUUUUGGCCAACAAUGCAAUUAGGAUUCGAGAGAUAAGAGAGCAUGUCGACUGUGGGUGAAGGGCAACUGUGGGUGAGUGGGGAGCACGGUCGUCCUCCAAUCAGAGGGUUGUCGGUUCGAUCCCAGGCCCGGCUAACCUGCAUGUCGUUGUGUCCUUGGGCAAGACACUUAACCCAACAUUGCUCCUGUAGCUGCGACUACAGUGUGUGAAUGGUAGUUACUGAUGGCAGGUGUCACUGUGUAUGGUUCUCCUGUCAUCAGUGUAUGAAUGGGUGUGAAUGGGUGAAUGAUGUCAUGUAGUGUUAAAGCGCUUUGAGUGGUCAGAAGACUAGAAAAGCGCUAUACAAGUACAGGCCAUUUACCAUUUACCAUUUACCAUGUCUUGAAUAAUGACACCAAUAUCAAUGCUGUAAG
ensembl:lncRNA